UUGUCUGAAAAAGUGACAGUAAUGUAUGUGAGAGACUGAAACAGAUGUGUGUUUAUUGACAGGUUAAUUCAUCCUCAGUGAAACCUGAAUGUGAUGUGACGUACAGUUCUGUGAUAAAUCUUCCCAAGACUGAAGCAUACAGUCCAGCAGAUGUAGAGGACAAUGUGAUCUACAGCUCUGUGUGUGAAUAGGACAGACUAGAUUAAAUACCUGAACAAAAUAUAAACACAGACGCAAGAGCUUGCAUGACACCAACACAGACAAAGUUGUUACAGUCAAAAUAUAUUUGGUGUGUUGAAAUGUGCAAAUGUUUUUAAAUAUGUUUGGUUGUGAUCUGCUUGUAUGACCAGUUAAAUGUUUUUACUAUAAUUUCUUAUUUCCGCUUGUUAAUUCAUGUCCUGAUCUGUAUACAGUAUAUAUAAAUUGUCAGACACACAAGUUGUAUGCCUUGUUUCUAAAUAUUGAACACACCUGCACUAUUUAGAUGUAUGUGUUUGACUUCACUGACUGGCGCAUGACAUCAAGGUACCGCAAGACAAUGUAGAAGCCCAGCUUUUAAACUUUUGAUGAUUUGUUGCCAAAAAAUUUAUUUAGCUCUUCUAAU